AUGUGUGACCAUACAAACGAUAAUCGACCAGAUCCUAUCAGAAUUCCACAGUUAAGCGUACUUGGACGGAAGUAAUAUUAACAUAAGUAUCCUCUUAGGAACUCCAUGUGUUGCACCUU